GCCGGGGCCCGGGAGGCACUGAACGCCGGCACCGCGCCCCUCGCCCGCUCGGCAGCGUGGGAAACCAGCCCAGGUACUAAGGAUGCAAUGAACUCAGCCUCGGGGCCACUGGCCGUCUCUCCCUCCACUCUUCCACUUGGGCACUGCCCAGCCUCAGCAACCUGGCCUUUGUUCAACCCGUUCUACUCUCCAUACAAGCCUUCCUAUUGUAAAAUAACAGGAUUUUCUUUUCUUCCUAUUACACACUGUGAGCUA